rnacentral:pre_miRNA from 1 species
UAGCUACUCCCUCCGUUCCGAAUUACUUGUCGCACGUAUGGAUUAUCUAGAUGUAUUUUAGUUCUAGAUACAUCCAUUUCAGCGACGAGUAAUUUGGAACGGAGGGAGUAGAUC